UUCUUCCUGAUGUCCAACCUAAAUCUCCUCUCUCUCAGUUUAAAACCAUUCCCCCUUGUCCUGUCACUGCCCUCUCUGGUGACAAGUCCCUCCCCAGCUUUCCUGGAGCCCCUUCAGGCACUGGAAGCUGCUCUAAGCUCUCCCUGGAGCCUUCUCCUCUCCAGUUAAACACCCCAACUCUCCCAUCCUGUCUCCAGAGCUGCUCCACUCCUUGGAUCAUCUCCAUGGCCUCCUCUGGACUCUCUCCAGGAGCACUAUCUCUACAAAGGAAGGGAUCAACAUCUCCAAACCAAAACUAAACCAAGAACCUUCACCUUUCCA